rnacentral:rRNA from 1 species
GACGAACGCUGGCGGCGUGCCUAAUACAUGCAAGUUGAGCGAUGAAGAUUGGUGCUUGCACCAAUUUGAAGAGCAGCGAACGGGUGAGUAACGCGUGGGGAAUCUGCCUUUGAGCGGGGGACAACAUUUGGAAACGAAUGCUAAUACCGCAUAAUAACUUUAAACAUAAGUUUUAAGUUUGAAAGAUGCAAUUGCAUCACUCAAAGAUGAUCCCGCGUUGUAUUAGCUAGUUGGUGAGGUAAAGGCCCACCAAGGCGAUGAUACAUAGCCGACCUGAGAGGGGGAACGGCCACAUUGGGACUGGAACACGGCUCCAACUCCUAACGGGAGCCACAGUAAGGGAAUCUCGGGAAAGGAGGGAAGUCUGGCCGGAGAAAGCCCGGGGGGGGGAGGAGGUUUUUCGAUCGUAAAACUCUGUUGAUAGGGGAGAACGAUAGGGGGAAGGGAAAACUCAUCAAGUGACGGUAACUACCCAGAAAGGGACGGCUAACUACGUG